GAACUAACAGAUUUACUUCGGUAAUGACGUUAGGAAAGCGAGCGGCGGAUGGGUGAGUAACACGUGGGGAACCUGCCCCAUAGUCUGGGAUACCACCUGGAAACAGGUGCUAAUACCGGAUAAGAAAGCAGAUCGCAUGAUCAGCUUUUAAAAGGCGGCGUAAGCUGUCGCUAUGGGAUGGCCCCGCGGUGCAUUAGCUAGUUGGUAAGGUAAAGGCUUACCAAGGCGAUGAUGCAUAGCCGAGUUGAGAGACUGAUCGGCCACAUUGGGACUGAGACACGGCCCAAACUCCUACGGGAGGCAGCAGUAGGGAAUCUUCCACAAUGGACGCAAGUCUGAUGGAGCAACGCCGCGUGAGUGAAGAAGGUUUUCGGAUCGUAAAGCUCUGUUGUUGGUGAAGAAGGAUAGAGGUAGUAACUGGCCUUUAUUUGACGGUAAUCAACCAGAAAGUCACGGCUAACUACGUGCCAGCAGCCGCGGUAAUACGUAGGUGGCAAGCGUUGUCCGGAUUUAUUGGGCGUAAAGCGAGCGCAGGCGGAAGAAUAAGUCUGAUGUGAAAGCCCUCGGCUUAACCGAGGAACUGCAUCGGAAACUGUUUUUCUUGAGUGCAGAAGAGGAGAGUGGAACUCCAUGUGUAGCGGUGGAAUGCGUAGAUAUAUGGAAGAACACCAGUGGCGAAGGCGGCUCUCUGGUC
rnacentral:rRNA from 1 species